UUGUUUGCUUUUGCUGGAAGAGAAAUGGGAUUUUAGUCGAUUGUAUUUGUCUAAAUUGAAGUAUUUACAUUUCUUGAACCUUUUUUAAAAUUUUAUUUUAAAUUUUUCUACAUUUUGCGACUUAGUAGAAAUUGAAGUAUUUGUCUGAAUUGCUUUUGAAAUCCCAUUUGCUGGAAGAGAAAUGGGAUUUUAGUCGGUUGUGUUGAUGUUGAAUUUUCGUGUUAUUCUGAAUCUGAUUGUUCUUCUCUUCUACAUUUGCUUUCGCAUCAGUGCUUGCUUGGUUGUGAGAUAGACAUUAACUGGAGCUUCUUAUGAACAUGUGCAAGAUGUUUUUUUUAUUUUUAUUUUUUUAUUUUAUUUUAUUUUUAUAUAGGUUAGAGCUAGUUUUAGUGCACUUUUCACUAUGUUAAGCUACAAGGAACUACACGAAUGCUAAAAAGAAUAAAUGGCUUUUUUGAUGUAUGUUUUGUUCAAGUAGGCUGAUUAUGAGUAAAGAGUACUAGAAACAAAACAAAAAAGCUUUCUUUUUUAUUUUUGAGUUUGAGCCAUUGAUCUUGCUUUUGCAUGCAGAUCGGUUUGCUCAUAGUGAUGUCCAAUAUUUUUGAAACAAUUAUCUUUGAUUGUUCCUAGUUAUAUCCAAUAUUUGUGAAACAAUUAUCGUUGGUUGUUACUAUUUUUCCAAGUCGGCAGUCCACUUUAGCUCUUAUCAUCAUUUUGAAGUUUCCUAUAUGGUUCAUUUUGGUUCUACCAAGGAUUGGAUUUGGUACAUCUAAAUAUUAUUUAUGGCUGCCUUGAUGUGGUUCUCUUUAGAGCAUCUUCAAUGCUAUUUGCUACUCUAGAAAGCAAUUGUGAAUAAUCGAUACAAAUAUCUAUGGCUGCCUUUAUAUGGUUCUCUUAGACUACAAAGCAUACGUGAAAGCAUAUGUGAAAGCAUGUAAAUACUAUCUAUGGGUGCCUUUGUAUGGUUCUCUUAGACUACUUUGCAUGCCAUGCAAUUCUCUCAUUCUAAACAUCUAUGUUUACAUUAUAGUGAUAUAAGCGAUAUAAAUAUCACAAACGAAACAUGAAUGUUUUAUUUUUUAUUUUGUUUUAGUUUUUUGAUAUAUGUCGUUUGGCUUUUGAUAGCUUAUUAAAUCCUACAUUGUAUUCUUUAGAAGUCAAAGGUUGAGAUUAGUUGUGUAAGCAUGUCAACAAGUACUAGUGAUGUUCAACCGAUCCGGAUGUGUUCAUGUGGGCAAUAUAUGCAUUUAAAAUCAUCAAGGACAUAUAAGAACCCAAAUCGUCAAUUUUGGAAAUGCUUAGAUGAAGAACAUGUCGUAUAUAAUUGUUGGAGUGUUUAAUUUUCACUUGUUUUCGCUUAUAAAAUAAUUAAAUUAUAGAUGUUUACUUGACACAGGAAAAAAGAUGUGGUAAAUUCAUUUAGGCAAAAGAAGGGGAAGCUAAACUAGAUAAAAUAGAUAUACUUAUCGGUGAAGUUCAUCAUUUAUCUAUCCAAGUGGAGAAAUCUAAUAAUAUGCUUGAAGCAAUUCAGAAAAAUACUAAGACGAGCGACCAAUAUGAUGUUAAGACUUUUAAGCAACCGAUAUGACGUUAAGACUUUUAUAGUUCUUGUAAUUUUAUUAUUUAUUUUCUUUAAAAUGUUUGCCUGGUGAUAUAGUCAAGUAAUGUAUGUGUCUGUUUGGUUGGUAAACUAAGUAUGUACAAAACUCUACAAUGUGCUUGUUAAGCACAAUAUGUAUCCUAUGUGCUUUUGCUUACUUCUUAUGUAUAGGUUGCUGUUGAAAUUUCCUUCAUGGAAGCUGUUUUGGCACGCACACAAACUGUGAAAUUUCAACCAAUUUGGCAGUGGUUUAAUAGUGUUUGAUUAAAAAAUUGCUUUUUAAUUUACUCUCGUUCCAUAUUUGUAGAAGCUUUGUUCUAAGUGCAGCUGUCAGUAACCAUGUGUUUGUUAAUUCCUAAGACAAUAGCAGUAGCACCUUAUGUUGUGAAUGACAGUGGAGCUUCGUUCUGUCAAUACCCCAAUAACUAAUAUGCUUCUUAGAAGUUGACUUUGUAGUAUUCUUGUCUUCUCCUUUACUUCCUAACUUAUUUCUAUAUUAUUUACAAGUCUGCCUUAUGGGAGCUUGAUUCUGAUUACUAUCUUCAUGUAUCUGGGAUUGGAGAUGACAUUUUUCUUGAAAUGUGUUCAAAUGAUAAUGCGAAGCAUGAAGGAAUGGUUGGAAUCAUUAAUGGCAACGAACAAGGCAAUUAAAUUGGAACCAUUAAUGGCAAAAGCAUACUACGUAAAGGUUCAAACGUUGCCAGGGCCAUGGCAGGUCAUGCUUAAAGAAGCAUAUGGCUCUUAAGCUUGUGCUUGUGCAAGCUGACACUUUGAAGUGCAGAUUGAUUAAUCUGGAGGAAAUGCACCAUAUGAACCAUAUGAUGUUUGAGCACAUUGCAGUUGUUAGCCUUCAUACUAGUGACAUUGUGACUGCUGAAGCAAGUUGGUUGUUGAAUUGUACCAUGAACAUGUUUUAAAUGUACCAGAAAAGAACAUAAUGAUAACAAAUGUUGCAAAAUGAUUGGAUUGAAAUUGUUGUAACUCACUAGCUUUUAAAUUGUAACUUGGAUGUUUGUGCUGUAACAAUUUACUGAAAGUUAAGUUCAAUAAAUAGUUGUUCAAUUUGUAUU